AAUGCAAAAAUGUGUGCUAAAUAUGUAUCCUUCUGUAUUAUUUAGAAUCAAUCGGGGGCGUACCAAAGGCUAUGAAACAGAUGUUGGAACCAAAACAACUCAUCAUGUCAUGUAUCCAGAGAGUUCUACUAGACUGGACAAUACCACUCAUCUCUUGUUUUUUCCUUUCAAAACACGUGACUUUUUGUGGCUCAUGAAGGACUUAAAUCGAGGGGAAAAUGGUGCUCCAAACUUAAAGAAGAUAGCUAACAAAGAUUUGAUCUGGAUCCUCCAUCCGGCUUUCAUGAAAUAUGUUCAUCAAGUAUGGCUGGGAAAGAAGGGUGCUUAUCCAUCCACUGGCUUUCUUGCUGUGGUUCUCAGCCUAGUGAUGUGUGAUGAGGUAUGUUCACUUUAAACAAUUUGUACAUUAUGCAUCUGACUGACAGUGGUGGUAGUUAAACACUGAGAAACACUGAUUUACCAGCAAAGUUGAGAAAAGUCUGCCUUAGAUGACUACAUGACUAAAACAGGAAUCUAUGGUUAUUUCAAGAAGAGUCAAGAAGAGUGGACAUCUGAUGGUUGACACAUUUACCUGCAAACCAAAGGCAGCAACAACUCUAGCUAAAGACACAUGGGUUGUGUUUAAAGGUGGUACCAUGAAGGAUAUCAAGUGUUAAAAGUAUUGCCAAAUCGAACAUGUAGAGCCUACCCGCUUGUGUCAACAGAACAGCUGAAAGUAGUUUUACAUAACUCUUGGAUAGCAAUGUGUAAAAAUGCCA